UGCUGGUCUUUGUUCUUCGACACUUUACUUCGCAGAGGGAAACAGUCCAGAGAACUUCUUGGAGCAAUCCAAAUGAGUCUUGCAGCUUUUGCUGACUUGUUCGAUUCAGUGGAGUCUCGCUGUUUUCUGCUGAAUCGUGCUGGUUCGUGUUGCUGUUUGGUGUUGGCUUUUGGACUGGACUGCUGGUGUCUGGACAAUGAAGAGUGGACUCACCCCGAGGAACUACUUCUAAAAAGUUCUUCCGCCCUGACCCGAGAUGCGAAGCAUAAGGAGCAGCAAGUGCAGUGAACUUCUGAGACCUGGACUCCUGCUGAUGCAAAGGCUAAACCCACUCCUUUUUCACUACUAUGACUUCUAAGGAAAGCAGCGUCCCCAUGCGGUAGUGUGGCGAUGUCAUCACACACCCAAAGCGUAGAGCUUGGAAGAUGCUGAGCGCACAUGAGCCUCGCUGCUGUGCCCACCGAUGACCAGGAAUGAGGAGGGAAGCUCUGCCGGAACGCCUAAGGAGUUCUACUGCUGAAGACGUAUCUGGUUCUAGAGACUCAGGUGUCUACUCAGCAGCAAAACGUGGAGGCAGCGUCACAAAGUUAAGGUGCCCACGUUCCGAAUCAGGAAAAGCUACUUGGCCUUUCGCUGACCCCAUUAUUUUGAAGACUGCCAUUUCACCUGGUCCUAAAGACUCACAAACCCCAAAUCACUCUGUAGGCCUGGGAGUCCACCGAGACACACACUGUGGGCAGAGAUGCUGGAACAGAAAUAUCUUAUUAAAACCUUCUGUUUUAGGCCAUGAAUUUGAGAGACAGAGAGAGCAAGGGGCAUGCACAUGGGAGGCGUUGGAGGGAGAAUAGGGAAGGGAGAAACAAUAUAAUUGUAUUUUAAUUUCAAAAAAAUUAAUAAAAUCUUCUCUUUUAAAAUCAAUUUAUUUAAUUUCAGGAGCCAGCUAAAAGAUAAAUAACUGGCUAUUCUGAAACAAAUACCAAUAUAAAGGAAGAAAAUUUGAACAAAAUUGUAUUUGGUCACUAUGAAACUUCCUUUAUUCAAGAUAUAAAAAGCCUAAUUUAACACUCGUUACUUCAUCUUGAAACUCAUUCAGUCUGCCUUUAAAAAUAAAUUGCCUUUUCAAUGCCUGCCUUGCACUGUAGACAUGGAAUUGUUUCCUUUUACUGUUCCUUUUCCUGAGCCAGUAUUUUGAAUCUGAAGUGAUUACUAACUUGCCACACAUUAGGAACUUCCGGCCACAAAGUAGCGUUAGUGAGAUGUGGGUUGGGAGGGGAAGGCUUUUCCAGGGGAAGGCAGAUAUCUGCUACCAAGGAUGAUGAGGGUGGUACCUUCUCACACAAGACAAUAGAAACAGCUUUUGGAGAGAAUCUGUGAUAAUUCAUUUUUAUAUGGAUGCUUAAGAAUCACUUGGGGUGCAUCCUUUCUCACCAAAGAAUCGCUAGGUACCGCAUAGAACAGAGGCCAUGCAUGCAUGACUUGCUUAACCUUAGCUGCGGAUUUUAUAAGUAUCUCUUGGCAACCAUUAUUCAUAAAUCCCUGCAAACAUAAAAUAAGAAAGAUGAGAUUCCCUCCCCUCCCCAAACAAUAGAGGACUAAAGGACAAGAGAUUAGUAUAGAUUAGAAUGAGUAACACUGGGCCCAGAACAUCGGAGAUACGGAGGAGCUGGUACCUGUUGACAUAGCACGUUUCUUUUGCUUUCCCUCUAAGACUUUUUAGCAAUAAAAUGAAUUCCUGUCAAGAUCCAGUAGAGCUACAGCUAUUAAUAUGCCCAUUAUAAUUACAACGGUGAAAGGAAGGCCCCUAACAAAGCUUUGCCUGUGCUGAAGGUUCUGCAGAAUAAUUGACUGAUUAGAAUGUUGUGAUUGUCGAGAGAUGGAAUGAAUGUUAGGCCACUGGAAAGCUAUGGAGGAAAUUUCUGCAUUUGGCUGUUAUCCUUCUAAGCUGGUGUGACCAUUGAUGUACUUAUUUGUUUGAUGUUUAUGACUUCUUCCGCAGUGAAACUCACCAUUCAGGGAAACCUGAGCCCAUGUUCCUGGGCCAU